rnacentral:rRNA from 1 species
GAUGAACGCUGGCGGCGUGCCUAAUACAUGCAAGUCGAGCGAACGGACGAGAAGCUUGCUUCUCUGAUGUUAGCGGCGGACGGGUGAGUAACACGUGGAUAACCUACCUAUAAGACUGGGAUAACUUCGGGAAACCGGAGCUAAUACCGGAUAAUAUUUUGAACCGCAUGGUUCAAAAGUGAAAGACGGUCUUGCUGUCACUUAUAGAUGGAUCCGCGCUGCAUUAGCUAGUUGGUAAGGUAACGGCUUACCAAGGCAACGAUGCAUAGCCGACCUGAGAGGGUGAUCGGCCACACUGGAACUGAGACACGGUCCAGACUCCUACGGGAGGCAGCAGUAGGGAAUCUUCCGCAAUGCGCGAGAGCCUGACGGAGCAACGCCGCGUGAGUGAUGAAGGUCUUCGGAUCGUAAAACUCUGUUAUUAGGGAAGAACAUAUGUGUAAGUAACUGUGCACAUCUUGACGGUACCUAAUCAGAAAGCCACGGCUAACUACGU